CCGGACUGAGGGCGUUGUACCUUGCCAGGUCAUGCAUUUUCCUCAGGCCCCUCUCUCUCCCGAGCACAUGGCUGUCGUUGAGGGACAGCCUGAUACCUCAGUCGAUGGCAGUUUGCCUCUGGAGGUAAGAUAUUGUCUGUUUUAACCUUUAUUGCCUUUAACCUACUGAUAACUCCAUUUGUCCAACUGUUAUUGACUUGGGGAAAAGUGAGGAAUGCAAUGGAUGGGAUGUACAUGUAAUGUUAUAUUUUAUUUUAUUUUGCUGAAUCUCUCUGCCUUAUGGUGCAGAUGGUUGCCAGUGAGGAAACCGGUGUUGCUGCUGUAAGUACAUCAUUUUGUUUUUGUUACUUGUAAUUUCUGUUUUGCUAAAAUUAUUGUGUAGAUUGAUGAUCUACUGUAUCUAGUGUGCAUAUAAUGUCUUGCUAGAAUUUUUGAGUGGAUUGAUCAUUUACUGUUGGUUUUGUAAUUGCCAUAGGGAACUGUUUCUGCCCGGACUGAGGGCGUUGUACCUCGCCAGGUCAUGCAUUUUCCUCAGGCCCCUCUCCCUCCCGAGCACAUGGCUGUCGUUGAGGGACAGUUUGAUACCUCAAUCGAUGGCAGUUUGCCUCUGAAGGUAAGAUAUUGUCUGUUUAAACCUUUAUUGCCUUUAACCUACUGAUAACUCCAUUUGUCCAACUGUUAUUGACUCGGGGAAAAGUAAGGAAUGCAAUGGAUGGGAGGUACAUGUAACGUUAAAUUUUAUUUUUUUUGCUGAAUCUCUC
rnacentral:lncRNA from 1 species